GAGGGUAUAGCUCAGUGGUAGAGUAUUCGACUGCUAAUAGAGAGGGCCCCGGUUCAAACCAGAGUGUCCUCU